GCUAGUGUGGCAUAGUGGUCUGAGUGCUGGACUAAGGCUCUGGAGACCAAAGUUCAAAUCCCUGCUCAGCC